rnacentral:rRNA from 1 species
GACGAACGCUGGCGGCGUGCCUAAUACAUGCAAGUAGAACGCUGAAGGAGGAGCUUGCUUCUCUGGAUGAGUUGCGAACGGGUGAGUAACGCGUAGGUAACCUGCCUGGUAGCGGGGGAUAACUAUUGGAAACGAUAGCUAAUACCGCAUAAUAGUAGAUGUUGCAUGACAUUUGCUUAAAAGUUGCAAUUGCAUCACUACCAGAUGGACCUGCGUUGUAUUAGCUAGUUGGUGAGGUAACGGCUCACCAAGGCAACGAUACAUAGCCGACCUGAGAGGGUGAGCGGCCACACUGGGACUGAGACCCGGCCCAGACUCCUACGGGAGGCAGCAGUAGGGAAUCUUCGGCAAUGGACGGAAGUCUGACCGAGCAACGCCGCGUGAGUGAAGAAGGUUUUCGGAUCGUAAAGCUCUGUUGUAAGAGAAGAACGAGUGUGAGAGUGGAAAGUUCACACUGUGACGGUAUCUUACCAGAAAGGGACGGCUAACUACGUG